CCAUGUAAAACAGUAGCUGAUCAACAAGAGGAAGAGACCAAGUCUUUAAGGGAUUAUGCUGUCCCACGAGUACAAAAUCUCCACUCUAGUAUCGAAAGACCUCUUAUUCAAGCCAACAACUUUGAAAUUAAGCCAUCAAUCAUUCAAAUGAUUCAGAUUGCUGUUUAGUUUGGGGGUUUGCCUAAUGAUGAUCCGAAUGCUCUUAUUAUAAAUUUCUUGAAAAUUUGUCAUACAUUCAAGGCUAAUGGUGUUACUGAUGAUGCUAGAAGAUUGACGCUUUUUCCUUUUUCAUUGAGAGAUAAAGCAAAGAGUUGGUUAAAUUCACUUCCUACUGGUUCUAUUAAUACUUGGGAUGAUUGGCUAAACAAUUCUUAGCAAAAUUCUUCCCACCUGCUAAGUCAACAAAGAUACAAAAUGAUAUCACUUCUUUCAUGAAAUUUGAUCCUAAAUCACUAUAUGAGGCUUGGGAGAGGUAUAAGGAUUUUAUAAGAAGGUGUCCUUGUCAAGACCCGGUACUCCCCUCGAGCCCGUGAUAACCGUCGUGGUGUCCCGAUAGACACUCAUUACCCAAAAUGUCAACCCGAAACCCCGCAAGGCUUUAAUAUCAGUUUCUCAUUUCCCUUGUAAGCAACUACUGUCAAAUUUCUUGCUUCAUUCCUUGAAAUUUUGUGAAUUUCUCUUGAAUUUCUUAGCUAGGUUUUUGUUCUUCUUCUUUUCUUCCCUUUUCUUCCUUUGGCCGGCCAUAUGAAGAGUAAUAGGCUGAUUUAUAUGCUGAUUUUUAAGGAAAAUAUUAAAGAAUUAAAAGUUUGCCACUUGUCACCUUAUCAUUAGUCCAUUUUGAAAUUUUUAACUAUUAAGCUUUCUUUCUCCACCACAUAAAAUCCUUUAAUUAUCCAUAAUAAUAUUGGGUAAAAUCCAUGUGCUGGACAAGUGUUGGGUGGUGUAAAAUUACAAUUUUGUCCCUGGAAUGGCAAAAUUACCAUUUUACCCUUAUGCUCCGAAAAAUAUCGAGAUCACAAUGUUUCACUUUUCAACCUCAAAUCAUACUCCUAUACUCAAAUCAUACUCCAAUAAGUCAAAUGGGGCCAAAAAAUCUUUUCUAAAAAUUCUCAUUUUGUCCCCAGGUGGCAAAUGACCAUUUUACCCCUAGAUAGUGAAAAUUUUGGUUUGACUCCAAAUUGAUCCUCAAACUCCAAAUUACCAAUUUGAGUCAUCCUUGGAUUGUGAAGCUCUUAAUUUCACCUUAAAAUUCCUAUUUGAUCUAGUUCGAGGCUUAAUUCAACUUAGUUGUACUAUUAAGUAAACUACUGACUUUUUACGAUUUUUCAGGGCUUUCCUAGUAUGCAAGCAUAUUGUCAAUCUCAUGAAUGACAUGGCAAGUAUUUUAUAAAGUCAGCCUUGACAGAACUAACCCCCUUAAAAUAAAAUUUUGACCUCAAAAUUUCACUUACCGGAUUCGAAGAAAAUAAGUGGAUAUUGGUUUCUCAUCUGGCGCUCGACUUCUCACGUCAUCUCUUCCAUUCGAGCAUUUUUCCACAAUACUUCACCAUUGGAAUACUCUUAUUCCUUAGCACUUGAUCCUUUCGAUCUAGAGUACGUACAAACUGCACCUCGAACUUCAAAUCUUUAUGCAACUCAAUGGGUGGUGUCUCUAGAAUGUGAAAGGGAUCGGGAACAUACUUUUUCAAUAUGGAGACAUGGAAGACAUUAUGAAUCCGAUCUAACUCUGGGGGUAAUUCAAGUCUGUAAGCCACUGGUCCAAUCCUUUCAAUGAUACGAAAGGGUCCAAUGUAUCUCGGAUUGAGCUUUUCCCGCUUCGCGAAUCGAAUCACACCUUUCAUUAUCCAAUAAAUACCACAAAUUAUCACAAUAGUAUAAUCAAAUAAGAUUUAAUACUUGGAAUUUUCAAAUUAUUACCUUUCCAAGGAGAAACCUUAAGAAAAACUUUAUCAUCCACUUCAAACUCCAAAUCUUUCCUUCGUCUAUCAGAAUAAUUCUUCUGCCUAUCUUGAGCUGUCUUUAAUCGUUCUUGAAUCACUUUGAUCUUGUCAUUUGUCAAAUCAAUCAAUUCCACUGUCACGACCCAAAUUUCGAGCCAUGACCAACGCAUGGGCCCAAUAGACGUAGUCCAUUAAGCCCAAGCAAGCCUAUCUAUUUAUCCUACUCCUUAUUCCACCAAAUAUUGCUAAGUCACAAAUUGUAACUUUAAAUCAAAAUAGUAAUAGACAUUGCCAACUCGUAUUGGCAUUACUCAUUUAUUAUAUACAUACAUUGUCUACAACAUAUAUUCCAAUAAUUUACAUUAGGUUCGUCUAUACACAACAAAAGAAUACUCGACUUCCAACCGAGGCACUCGGACAAAUGUACAGCUACUGAAUGCCGAGACACUUACCAAAAGAUGGAUACAAGUCUACAAGGACACCUCAUCCUAGUUACCGGCUGCCUCAUGAUCUGAAAACAUGAAGUUGAAAGUGGUGAGUAUAAACCAGCGAGAAUGAAUUUUCAUUGUAGUGACGUUGGGAUUUAGUUAUUAGCGAAACGAGGGUUUCUCAACUGGCCGAGGGUUUCUCACUAAACCUCCCCAUUUUGAGCUUAACUCAUUUAAUCCUUAAUGUUGGAAGUCCAUGCUCCAAUAUGGUAGUAAAGAAGUGAAAGAUAGGGCAGCAAUUUGACAAGAUUGAAGACCAAAACAGAAGGUUUCUCGCUGCAGCGAGAUUCUUUCUCACUGUAGUGAAAUUCAGCUGAUGAAAUAGAGAGUUUUCCGUUGCAGCAAGAUUCUUUUUCGCUGCAGCGAGAAGCUACAGUUACUAUCUCGCUGCAACGAAAUACAUUCUCUCUGCAGCGAGAACUAGUUCUGGUGAAGGUUCUCAAACCCGAGAGUUUCUCACAGCAGUGAGAAUGAAUUUCGCUGCAGCGAAAAUAGAGCAACAAGAGAAAAGUUUCCCCUCAUUCAACAAAAAGGCAAACCUGCUAAACCAACAAAAUAAACAUACAGCACAUGAAAAUUUCCAAAGUGCAAUGUAUCAAAUUUCUCAUAUAUGUCAAUCAUAUAUCACAUUCAUAAGUUUUCAUUUCAUAAGUCUAGACAUGCAUAAUUACAUAGAUAAACAUCAACAUCAUCAUAAUCACACCCGACUCAUGUACAUCCCCCCACGUCGUGCACAUAGCCGGCACCAUCAUGUGCAUCCCCCAGAUCGUGCACAAUUAGUGCCAUCAUGUACAUCCCCCCACAUCGUGCACACGAGCACUAUCAUCAUCCAUCUCUCACGCCACCAUUAUUACCGGCAUGUGCAUCCCCCCACAUCAUGCACACACACAGUUACAGUCAUUAUACACAAUAUCAUUCAUCAUGCACAACACACACAUUUAUAUAUCAUCAUACUACAAUAGUGCAUGAAUCCAUAGCAAUCACAUAUCACAAUAUAAAGCCAUUUUGCAAAAGCUUGUUCCCAAGACACUUAUGAAAAACUUGAUAAUUCAUUCAAAUGGGUGGCAAAUACAUUAUAUUUCCCAAAACAAGUUUUGAAGGGAGUCCACUCACCAAUUGAUUGUAGAGCCUUUAGAUGACUCCAAUUCACCUAAUUGUCCAAAUGAGAUUAUGCGGCAUCCUCAGAACCUAGGAUCAUAUUAGCAUAAUCAAUAGGUCAAUUUACACACUAUGAACCUUAAAAGCUAUAUCUUAGCUAGCUUUCAAUUGCCACAUUAAAUGGCCAUCUAUGUUCACUAUCUUAAUCACUAAAAGUAAUGAACAUACUCAAUAAUAAAAUAGCUCAUAAAUCCCAAUUACUAGCCAUUUCUGCAGCUAAAAAUCAAGCUUAAUUCAUCACUUACCCUAGGGCUCCUUUGUAGUCAAAUUCUCUUCCAAUUGCUUUCAAAUCAAUGAGGUAAUUCUCUCUUUCUCUCUCUAGACCAUCCAACUAGUAAGAGAAAGUCUGGAAAUAAGCUUUAUCAAGGGUUUUGAAGUGAGUUCCAAUUUCAUAAACCGACUAUCAUAUGACAAUUGAACAUUCCACAAAGCUUAUAAGUAUCAAACUAUCCAAACUUUUCUUAUAUCCCAUCCACUACCAACUCCAAAAAUCAAAGGCCAAAAAUCUAUGUACUCGAUCUAUGUAUUAUAAAGAAAAUUCUUGUAUAUAGAUUUUUUUUUCACCAUAGAUUCCAACUAAUCAAAUUUAUGUCAAAAGCAUACAUACAACCACCAAUCCAAAGAAUCUCCUAAUCUCGCAGGCUUUCUCAUAUUCUUCAAAAUUAAAACCAUUGUCAAGAUUCCCAACUAUAAAAAUUUAUAAUUAAUAAUUGAUUUUACCACAAUACGAAAUCAUAUUCUAUAUAUUUAUAACACAUCAAAUUUUUCUAACAAAAUAGGUUUCAAUAGUUCAAAAUACUCAUUUAAAAAUCAAUUUCUUUGAUACAACUUUUCCAUAAUCAUAACCUUAAUCUUUAGAUACAAAAUCAUGACAAAACCUGAUAUCAUGAUAAACAAUGUUAUCCAAGAAACUAAUAUAAUGAAUCUCAUACGGUACAUCAAGUUGCACUACAAUCACAAUUCACAAAUCACUUACAUUAACCACUAACAAAUUCGUAGUGUUCCAAAAGAGACUGAAUGUUUAACCCUCAAUUUUGCACUAUAUAAAAUCUUGAUAUCAAGCUUAUAUUCUUUUCCAAUAAAACAAAUCAUGUAAAUAGCGUAAAAUCCUCUUUUAGUCAUCAUAACACUAAUUAUCCACAAGUGUAAGAUUAAAAACCAAAAUCCACUACGGCACAUCAGGACAUUAAUAUUAAUAAAUACCUCAAGUUUUUAAAAUACCUUAUCAUGUCAGCUUUGAUAUUUUAUAUUUAAACUCCAACAAAGUUUAGAUCACGAUCAAAGGUUCACUUAACAUCCAUCAAAAUACUCCAAAUUUCUCGAUAGAUCAAAAAUCGAAUUUUUUAAUUUCAUAGGAUCUCCAAGAUCAAAAUCAUUCUUUACAAUAACCUCAAGCUUAACAUUAUCUAUCUUAUUAUAAUUCACACCAAAAUGACUUCAAUUUAUAGACAUUGAAUAAUUGUUCAUUGAAUUAAUCAAUCUUUUUCUCACCACUAAUUUCUUUAUCCUCACCAUAGAUUUCCAAAAUCAUCUAUCUUCUCAAAAUUCAUACUAAAAUCACUUCAACGUAUACAUAUAGCAUUAUUGUUCAUUGAAUCAAUUAAUCUUUUCCUUAUCACCAAUCUCUUUUUCCUCGCUACUAAUUUUCAAAAGCCAUUAUCUAUGCAUCAAUUGAACUAAAGACUCCAAAAUUCAUAAAUCAUUAACCUGAGUUCUGAUACCACUAAAUCUGUCAUGCCCCAAACCCAAGGUUUUGGAAGUAACAGACGCCACAUACUCAUGAGAUGAUGAAAAUUAGAGCUAGAGAGAGAAAAUCAUGCAAGCUCCAUAUCAUGUUUCCAUGGAGUUUUGAAGAAACGUGAGAGAGGAGAAGGGAAGAAGAAGACCAGCUGCUGGAAAUUUCAAGAUAUUUAUAGGCUAAACUUAUCCAUUCCCAUAAAAUUACGAAAAUGCCCUUUUCACCAAUUAACUUAUUCUCCUCCAAUCUUUUAUGCAAUCUUUUUGCUCUUUUAACACUGGGACAAGAUCCAUAAUGGUCUAGACAUGUUCGAGUUCAUAAAAACUUAAAACUUUAACCCGAGUUAAAAAAUUACCAUUUUACCCCUGUUAUGAAAAUUGUUGAAACUUCUAGUUUUCUUCGUGUUUUCAUCAUCACACAUCAUUUAUGCAAUCUUAUACCCAUUUAGACCUUAAAAUAUCAUAAAACUUUCUUCUGGAAGCUUAUUAGAGAAAAUGACAAAACUACCCCUAGCUCGUAUUAUUACAUCUAUACUUAGUUACAAGCCUAUAGGUUGGGGUCUCACAUCCACAUUAAUCAAUUUCCUCUCACCCACUUCAUCCCAACAGAGUGGAGUUCGGCACUUCCUUCCAUACAAAGCCUCGUAUGGUGCCAUCCCAAUACUAGACUGAAAACUGUUAUUAUACACGAACUAUACCAAUGGCAAGUGUCUGUCCCAACUUUCAAUGAAGUUAAUGACACAAGCCCGUAACAUAUCUUUUAGAGUCUGACUAGUCCUUUUAGAUUAACCAUCAGUCUGCACAUGAAAGGCAAUACUAAAUCUCAAUUUAGUUCCAAGAGCUUCCUGAAAUUUCAACCAAAAUCGAUAAGUAAAUCGAGGGUCUCGAUCUGACACAAUAGAAACUGGAACUCCGUGUAAUCUCACAAUCUCAUCUAUAUAAAGUUUCGCUAGUUUCUCAAUAGAAUACGUGCUAUGGAUAGCCAAAAAAUGGGUGGACUUAGUCAAUCUAUCCACAAUCACCCAAAUAGCAUCAUUCCCACUUUAUGUCCACGGCAAACCCAAUACAAAUUCCAUAGUCACGUGUUCCCACUUCCAUUCAGGAAUUGGUAAAGGUUGAAGAGUACCUGAUGGGUUUUGAUGUUCCGCCUUAAUCUGUUGGCAUGUGAGACAUUUUGCUACAAACUCUACUAUGUCUCGUUUCAUACCUGACCACCAAUAACUUUCUUUAAUAGUCCGAUACAUCUUGGUGCUUCCGAGAUGUAAAGCGUAGGCGGAAGAAUGAGCUUCCUCCAAAAUAGCCCGUCUCAACUGAUCAUCCUUAGGGACACAAAUUCGGUCUUUAAGCAUCAAAGUACCAUCAUCACUGAGUCUAAACUCGCUAGUUUCUCCAUCUUGCAGCUUUUGAACUUCUUAUUUCAACCAAUCAUCGGAUUUUUGCAAUUCUCUUAUUUGAUUCAACAAUGAAGGUCUCACAACAAAACUAGCAAGUAGGGUUCCAUCCUCACCAUUAUUCAACUAGAUCCCUAGAGAUUUCAUCUCAAGUAAUAUCGAAAAAUAAGAACUCUGAAGUACAGCUAAUGAAGAUGAGGAUUUACGACUUAAAGCAUCCGCUACAACAUUUGCCUUCCCUAGAUGAUAAUCACUCACCAAGUCAUAAUCCUUAAUCAACUUCAGCCACCGUCUUUGUCUCAAAUUAAGUUCUUUCUGGGUGAGCAAAUAUUUCAAACUCUUAUGAUCAGUAAAAAUCAAACAACACUCACCAUAUAAAUAAUGUCUCCAAAUCUUUAAUGCGAAAACUACUACUGCCAACUCCAAGUCAUGAGUAGGGUAAUUCGUCUCAUGCUUCUUCAACUGUCGGAAAGCAUAAGCUAUUACUUUCUCAUCCUGCAUUAAUACACACCCUAAUCCCAACUUAGAUGCAUCAUUGUAUACCACAAAUUCUUUUCCAUUAACAGAAAGUGUUAAAACGGGAGCGGAGGUCAAUCAGUUCCUCAGCUCCUGAAAUCGACUCUCACAGACAUCAUCCCACUCAAACUUAACUCCUUUACGAGUCAAACGAGUCAAAUGAGCUACUAUCAAGGAAAAUCCCUGAACAAAUCUCUUAUAAUAACCAGCUAAGCCAAGGAAACUGCGAAUCUCAGUUACCGUUCUUGGUUGCUCCCAUUGUAAGAUUGCCUCAAUCUUCUUGGGAUCGACAUAAAUUCCAGCUCCAGACACCACAUGUCCCAAGAAAACCACUUUCUUUAACCAGAAUUCACAUUUAGAGAACUUGGCAUAGAGUUGUCUCUCGCGCAAAGUUUGCAACACAAUACGCAAAUGGGCAGCAUGUUCAUCAUCAUUCUUCGAAUAAACCAGGAUGUCAUCUAUGAACACUAUCAAAAACUUAUCUAAAUAUGGAUGAAACACCCUGUUCAUAAGAUCCAUAAAAGUUGUCAGGGCAUUAGUUAAACCAAACGGCAUCACCAGAAACUCAUAAUGCCCAUAACGCGUCCUAAAAGCAGUCUUGGGUACAUCUUGCUCCUUAAUCUUCAACUGAUAAUACCCAAACCUCAAAUCAAUCUUUGAAAACACCAUAGCACCUCGUAAUUGAUCAAAAAUAUCAUCGAUCCAGGGUAGAGGGUAUUUAUUCUUGAUGGUCACUCGGUUAAGCUGACGAUAAUCGACACACAAUCGAAGAGUGCCAUCCUUCUGCUUUACAAAUAGGACUGGUGCUCCCUAAGGAGAAAUGCUAGGGCGAAUGAAACCUUUAUCCACCAAAUCUUCCAACUGGACUUUCAGUUCCUUCAACUCUGCCGGAGCCAUUCUAUAUGGAGGGAUAGAAAUAGGUGAGGUACCCGGAAGUAAAUCGAUAGGGAACUCAAGUUCUCGAUCAGGAGGUAGUCCCGGUAAUUCAACAAGAUCUCACUUACUAUUGGGACAUUCUCUAAUUUAGGUUCCCCCUUUGAAAGAUCAAUCACAUGAGCCAAAUAAGUCAGAUACCCUUUCUGAACUAAUUUCAAAGCUUUGAUGGUCGAGAUUACAUAGGACGAUAAUACUCGACGUUCCCCUACAAAAACAAUCUCUGCUCCCUUUGAAUUUCGAAGAAUAACUUCUUUUCGAAAAUAAUUCACGUUCGCCCGAUGUGCAGUUAACCAGUCCAUACCCACUAUCAAAUCGAAAUCUUGGAUCUCUAGAGGAAUCAAGUCACCCUUAAAUUCUUCCUCACCUACCCUUACUCCACAAUCUCUAUAACAACUGUUUCUAACUAGCUUCUCUUUUAAAGGGGUGUGAAUUACAAUUUUCUCCUCUAAUGGUGGCAAGUUUCUAUCAGCAAUUGAUGCAAAUGCUAUACUCACAUAAGACCUAUCUAAGCCAAAAUCUAUUAAAACAUAAGCAUCUUUAUCAAAUAAAGACAUAGUACCUAUCACUGCUCCAAGUCGGACCCGUGCCUCAUCUUCCAUCACAGCGAAGACUCUUGUCGAAGUACGAGUCUGUGGUCUCGAAGGUGGAUAUGCCAGGGUCUUACACUCUACACCAGACUGUAUAGCCACUCUUUGCCUUGGUGGUAACUCAGAAGGAUCUCUCCUCUACAUAUCCGUACGAGCUGGUGGAGACGGAGCAGUUGCAGUAACUCGUUUUAGCUGUGGGCACUCACUCUUAAUGUGGCCUGGCUGAUCACAAUGAUAACAUCGUAUUGGUCCCCUACACGGCCCAACAUGAUUCUUCCCACAUCUCUUGCAUCUUUCAGAACCUCCGAAACUCUUUCAGGAAGUAGUCAUCGUAGAUCUGCUGAAUCUCUGAGGCCUCUACUGUGUCUGUGAAAAUGGAGGUCGAGGAGAUGUCACUGAAACAGAGGUAGUACUUCCUAAAGCAGAUGAGUCUUUGCCCCUUUUUGGUGGCUGACUGAAAGAUACACUCAGAUUUCUCCUUUUUGCAAACUCAGUCCGAAUCCUCUUAUUCUUAAUCGCGAGCUUCUUAACCCGUAAAGCCAUCUGUACGACCUCCUUAUGUGGCUCCCUACCAGUCACUGUCAUCCGCUCUCUAAUCUCAUUACGGAGCCCUUCCUCGAAAUAACUGGCCUGAUCUUACUCAGAUUUCACUAGAUCCGGCACAUAUAAUAUCAACUCGUUAAAACGAGUCUCGUACUCCUCUACAAUUAGAUUUCCUUGUUUCAAGCUUAGAAAUUCUCUUUUCUUUUCUUUUUGAUCAAAGUAAGUGAAAUACUGACCAUCGAAUUCCCUAAGAAAGUCAGACCAGGUCGGAGGAGUAGUGGAACGGGAUUUUACUGAAUUUCACCAUGUACGAGCUCUCUUAUCUAGUAAUCUCGUGGCCACCAUCAAUUUCUGGUCAUCAUCCAAUCUCAUAUCAGAGAACGUUUCUGAAACCUAAUUAAUCCAAUCUUUGGCUACGGUUGGGUCCAACUCCCUUAUAAAAGAAACACAACCAAAUUGCCUAGCUUCCUUCCACUUCUUAGCAAUAGAGACAUCUAGCACUGGUGGUGGAACAGGAGGUGGGGGUGGUGGUACUGAAGGAGCAACUGGUGGUACUAUAGGAGGGGCCUGACCAGCUUGAGCCUGGCCAGCAAUAGCUGUAAAGAAAGCUACCAAUGCCUGGACUGACUCAAGAGACAUGGUAGGAGUACCAGUAGGUGGCGGAGGAUGUAGAGAAUGUGGAGGAGUCUCGGCUUGCUCAGCAGCAGGUGCUACCCGAAUGGUGGAUGCAGCCGAUUCCUCCUCUACUGUAUCUGGCUGAAGACGUUGGGAACGACCUCUUCCCCUCCCAAUCGAUCUAGUGGGAGGUGGACAUCCACGUCGAGGAGGUAUAGCAAUCUAUACAAUGGAACAAGGUAAAUUUAAUCAACCUUAGACUCUAUAUGCAAAUUCAUGAAUCCUAUUCAACCUAACCCAACUUAACUUAAUCUAGGGCUACACUGACAUUGUAAAUUUUUAACACUACUUUAAAACUAAAAACUUUGAUCUUUAAAACCAAAUGCUUUGAUACCAAUCGAAUUGUCACUACCCGGUACUCCUCUCAAGCCCGUGACAACCAUCGCGGUGUCCCGGUAAACACUCAUUACCCGAAAUAUCAACCCAAAACCCCGCAAGGCUUUAAUAUCAGUUUCUCAUUUCCCUUGUGAGCAACUAUUGUCAAAUAUCAUGUUUUAAAAGAUUUUAAACUAUUUCCAACUUAAAACAAAUAAAAUAUUAAUUUUUGUCUCACAGAGGUAUUUUGGUCAUUUUUUCAAAAAUUUUGAAAUCCGCUAAAAAUGUAGUAAGCGAGUACAAAACACAUAAUUCAUAAUAAAAAAUGAGUUUUAAAGUCUAAAAUCUUCAUUUAAAACGAAAUUGUGAUUGUUUGGAUAUAAUAGGAAAAUAAAAUAAAUAUUAAGUAAAAUAUUAUAUUUUCUUAUUAAACAAUAUUUUUAGAGUUAUACGUAGAUAAUUUUUGUAGCGUAAAAGCAAAGUAAAUUCAUACAUACUGUAAUACAGUAAACCAGAGUAUUUAAUUUAAUUUAUAAUAACAAGUGGGCCCCCGAAUAACCAAAAAUAAAGAGGACUGUGAACCUACAGUUUGAAGGAAUGCAAAUCCAAGGGUAGUCCUCGAUGAACUCAGCUAUCUACAACCUAAUCUGAACCUGAAAUGGGUGGAAAGGAGAGUGGUGAGAUUUUAUAAUCCCAGUGAGUAAACAAACAUCAUUCAAAAGAUCUAAAGUUCGAGUAAAAGGAGACAAUUAAAAUAUUUCAUCUCAAUAUGUAUUUCAUAACAUAAAUGUUCAUUUCAUUUAAAUAUUCAACAUGGCUAAUGAGUAUCUUAAAAGCUUGGCUCCUGCCAAAAUCAUUCUCGGAGAUACCUUAGCCGAGACAUCUAACCGAGUCCGCCAAGGUUGUUAAAAAGUUCGUAUACACGUAAAUAUAUUUUUAGUUUGAAAAAUACAGCCAUUCCUUGGCAUUAGCGGAGUUCAUCAUCACAAGGUGGUUCGGCGUGACGUGAACUCUGUCCAUACCUCAGGAGAUACACUAUGCGCCUCUCCGACCGAGGUACAUAUAUAUAUAUAUAUAUAUAUAUCUCUAGAUUUCGUGCCCCCCUAAUAGGCUGGUCCACAGAAUCUGCCGACUGCAGCAAGCUAAACCCACCAUACAAUAAAAUUUUGACAGCAUGACAGGGCUAAUAUUUUACUACCCAGCUUGCAAGGGUAAAAUAAAAUAAUUCAUACAAUUCAUAAAACACAACCCAGCCAGUCAUGCUAACGCAAUAACAAUAUAACAUAAGCCAUCAAUUUUCAAUCAUAAAUUUACAACAUAACAAGUGGUCUCCAAUUACUUUAUUUUUCAAAAUCAUUAUUUUGUUUCAAGAUAAUUUAUAAAAUCCUUUCAUGUAAAUACAUUUUGUUUGUAAAACACAAAGGUUUACCAUUUAAACUCCUUUUCAUAAAACUUCACCCAAACUGAAUAAAAACAUACUUUAGAUAAUUAAAAUGAUAGUAAGGUUACUCACUAUUUCAGGAGUCGAAUUUCUAGAGUACUCUAACUACCGAUCCUCGGGUACAAUUUCUUUGCCUUUAUCGGAGGAUUCACCACCUAGACAUAAUACAAAAUCGAGAAACUUACUACAUUGGUACUAAAUCGAAAUUAAACUAAUUUAGACUACUAAUGUGUGAUAUGGAAUGCAAAAAUGUCCGAAUAGCCGUUUAAAUACGGUAUUCGACCUAAUUCACAUUAUUUUCAGUGUAAUUGGCUAAAACCUCCAAUUUAACUCCAAAUCGAUUUCUUUCACUUUCUACACUCCAAUUAUACUUAAAAUACCUCAAUGACUAUGAAUGUAAUUCAAUUUAUCAGUCCAAACUAUAAAUCGCACAUGUCUAUACAUUAGGUAAAAAUUCAUAUUUUCAUGCCAAAAUUUCCCAUUAAAUUUCUAGCUUCACCAAUCAUUAAAUAUCACCAAAAUAUCAUGAAAUAUCAUCAAUUUUAGCCUCAAUAUUCUCUCUAGAAACUUCGGCCAAUGAAGAACACAUAAGGAAUGGGUGAUUUUCAAGCUUGAUACUUACACUAAACACCAUAAAUCAUUAAAAACAUCCAUAUAACUUAAAAUCCUACCAAACCAUCACCAAACUCUCUCUCUCUAGAAUUCGGCCUUCAUGGGUUUCAUCAUGCCAACUAAAUUUUCAGCCAUGGAAAUAAGAAAAUAAAGCAUGGGUACGCUAGAUCUCAAGCAAAAAUUGAAAAAUCAUACCUUAUCUUGCUUGAUUCCUUGAAAUUUUGUGAAUUUCUCUUGAAUUUCUUAGCUAGGUUUUUGUUCUUCUUCUUUUCUCCCCUUUUC
rnacentral:lncRNA from 1 species